UGCCAGCCGCCGCGGUAAUAGCAGGACCUCAAGUGGUCUGGAUGAUUAUUGGGCCUAAAGCAUCCGUCGCCGGCUCUGUAAGUUUCGGUUAAAUCUGUAUGCUCAACAUACAGGCUGCCGGGAAUACUGCAGAGCUAGGGAGUGGGAGAGGUAGACGGUACUCGGUAGGAAGGGGUAAAAUCCUUUGAUCUAUUGAUGACCACCUGUGGCGAAGGCGGUCUACCAGAACACGUCCGACGGUGAGGGAUGAAAGCUGGGGGAGCAAACCGGAUUAGAUA
rnacentral:rRNA from 1 species